rnacentral:rRNA from 1 species
CGCGUAGGUGGUAGUGUAAGUCUGGGGUGGAAUCCCAGGGCUCAACCCUGGAACUGCCUUGGAAACUGCAUUACUUGAGUCAGUGAGGGGAGGGUAGAAUUCCUGGUGUAGCGGUGAAAUGCGUAGAUAUCAGGAGGAAGGCCUGUGGCGAAGGCGGCCCUCUGGCGCUGGACUGACACUGAGGCGCGAAAGCGUGGGGAGCAAACAGGAUUAGAUACCCUGGUAGUCCACGCCCUAAACGGUGGGCACUAGGUGUAGGGCUCGUAAGGGUUCUGUGCCGAAGAGAAACCAUUAAGUGCCCCGCCUGGGGAGUACGGCCGCAAGGUUGAA